UCGGGAAUUUUGGGCAAUGGGCGAAAGCCUGACCCAGCAACGCCGCGUGAAGGAUGAAGUAUUUCGGUAUGUAAACUUCGUAAGAAUAGGAAGAAUAAAUGACGGUACUAUUUGUAAGGUCCGGCUAACUACGUGCCAGCAGCCGCGGUAAUACGUAGGGACCAAGCGUUGUUCGGAUUUACUGGGCGUAAAGGGCGCGUAGGCGGUGUGUCAAGUCAGUUGUGAAAUCUCCGAGCUUAACUCGGAACGGUCAACUGAUACUGUCACACUAGAGUACAGAAGGGGCAAUCGGAAUUCCUGGUGUAGCGGUGAAAUGCGUAGGAUAUCAAGAGGAACACCUGAGGCGAAGGCGGGUUGCUGGGCUGAUACUGACGCUGAGGCGCGAAAGCUAGGGUAGCAAACGGGAUUAGAUACCCCAGUAGUCCCUGAGCGGGCUGGCAAGGCGCAU
rnacentral:rRNA from 1 species